rnacentral:RNase_P_RNA from 1 species
UCAGCCGGCCGGAUGGCCGCCGGAGGGUGUUACAACUCUCGGGAGGAAAGUCCGGGCUCCAUGGAAAGACGGUGCCGGGUAACGCCCGGCGGGGGCAACCCCAGGGACAGUGCAACAGAGAGCAGACCGCCAUCUCAAGAGGUGGCAAGGGUGAAACGGUGCGGUAAGAGCGCACCGCGCGCACGGCAACGGACGCGGCGUUGGUAAACCCCACCGGGAGCAAGACCGAAUAGGGAUGGCACGGGCCCUCAAGGCCCAGGCGGUUUCCGCGCCGCCAUCCGGGUUGGUCGCGCGAAGCGCAUGGCAACAUGCGUUCCAGAUGAAUGGCCAUCCAUCGCGGGAGCGAUCCCGCGGGGACAGAACCCGGCUUACAGGCCGGCUGACGCU